rnacentral:lncRNA from 1 species
GAUUUCUUCAAACUUUUCAAAAAUUUGGAAUUAUACAUAAUUCACAAGUAGUGUAAAGGACAUACCCAACAUUGUAUGUUAAAUGUUUUUGAGUUACCUCCCUUAUUGACCCUUACACUGCUUUUCAAUUGUCUUAAUUGACCAUUUACCAGAAAAACCUAGUUUUUCCCCUUUUUUUGCCCCCAAUUCCUAAACAUUUUGAGCCAUAAUCCCACCCCACCACCCCAAACAAUACUUACCAUACCUUUAUGGUAUGGAAACUUAUGGUAUAAUUUCAAAGAGAUUCAUACACUUAAACUUAAAGUUAUUGUUUGAAAACUACAAAAAUGCUUAUGUUGGGCCCCUUAUUCCUAACUUAUUGGGACCAUAACUCCCAAAAUCAAUCGCAACCUUCCUUUAGUGGUAUUGAACCUUCUGGUAAAAAUGUAUAGCAAUCCAUUCACUUAAACUAAAGUUUUUGUCCGGAAACUAAAUGUCUUCAGAUGGCAACAUGAUAGCAUUAUAUGACGCAAAAAACAUUUGGGGUCGUAUAAAAAAUGUAUUUUGGGGAGGAAUUUUAUUGCAAAUUACACAUAUAAGUAUAUAACAGAAUAGGCAGAUGCAGGGGGGUCUGUGUGGGGAAAAUUUAAUUGAUUAUAAAGGGAAUCACUGAAGCAUGACUGGAGCAGGGGCCCCCUUAGGUCUUGUAGGUCAGUCAGCAGGUCUUUUAUUGUCCUGAUUUGAAGAAGUUUUUUUUUAAUCAGAUAGGCAUGAAGACUUAUAAACACUUGAUACUUCAAUUUCUCUUUUUGAAAACAAGAAAAGAAAAUGCCUACCUACCUACCCACUGUCUCAACCUUUGGGUAGGGUUUGGGCAAACCAAAAUAUUUUUAAUUGUGGCCUGAUCAUGUUAUAUCUUUUGAACAUGGCUGCCGUAUAUAUAAGGUCUCUUCUGAAUUUUUUCUACUUGCAAUUGCCAUGUUUGAAUUUCAAGAAAACAAGAUGAUCAAAUUAUUUUCUCUCUAGACACAAAGACCAUAUAUCAUGUAUAUAGGCAAAUAUAAUGAAAAAAAAACUGUGUUUGAACUUUCAUUAGGAAUAGCUAUAUCUAAAAAAUCACAGAAAAGAUUGCUGUCAGUCUUUUCUGGUUUUUUGUUUGUAAUAAUUGGGUGUUGGUUUUUCAUUUAAAUUAUGUUGAUUGUAAGUGUAGCACUUGUAAUUUUUCAAAAUUCUGACCAAAUUGCGAACUACAGUGAUGGGUUUGUGUAUCUCAGUCUUUAGUUUCUAUUAUGAGUUUUAAUUUGAAUACUGUUGUUUUAAUUUGAUCUUUUUUUAGCCAUGACCUUGCCAGUUUAUCUUCAACUUGCGAGCUUUAAUGUCCCCUUCAUACAUGCAUCUUGAGCUGGAAUAAAUACUCGUCUGUAUGAAUGUGCUUGGAAAAUUUUAAACAAAAAUUCCAUUUAAAAUCUAUCCACUCAAUGAAAACUAAGCUUUUUGAUUAUUUACUAUGUUCACUUCAGUGGUCAGUAUUUGAGUGUAAAAUUGCAGGGUUUCU